rnacentral:rRNA from 1 species
UACGGAGGGUGCGAGCGUUAUCCGGAUUCACUGGGUUUAAAGGGUGCGUAGGUGGGCAGGUAAGUCAGUGGUGAAAGCCUGGAGCUCAACUCCAGAACUGCCAUUGAAACUGUUAGACUUGAGUACGAGAGAGGUGAGUGGAAUUCCCAGUGUAGAGGUGAAAUUCGUAGAUAUUGGGAAGAACACCAGUGGCGAAGGCGGCUCACUGGCUCGUAACUGACGCUCAGGCGCGACAGCGUGGGGAUCAAACAGG